GUGGGUAUAGUUUAAUAAAAAUACUAGAUUGUGAUUCUAGAAAUAAAGGUUAAAUCCCUUUUAUCCACC
rnacentral:tRNA from 1 species